GAUGAACGCUGGCGGCGUGCCUAAUACAUGCAAGUCGAGCGAACGGACGAGAAGCUUGCUUCUCUGAUGUUAGCGGCGGACGGGUGAGUAACACGUGGAUAACCUACCUAUAAGACUGGGAUAACUUCGGGAAACCGGAGCUGAUACCGGAUAAUAUUUUGAACCGCAUGGUUCAAAAGUGAAAGACGGUCUUGCUGUCACUUAUAGAUGGAUCCGUGCUGCAUUAGCUAGUUGGUAAGGUAACGGCUUACCAAGGCAACGAUGCAUAGCCGACCUGAGAGGGUGAUCGGCCACACUGGAACUGAGACACGGUCCAGACUCCUACGGGAGGCAGCAGUAGGGAAUCUUCCGCAAUGGGCGAAAGCCUGACGGAGCAACGCCGCGUGAGUGAUGAAGGUCUUCGGAUCGUAAAACUCUGUUAUUAGGGAAGAACAUAUGUGUAAGUAACUGUGCACAUCUUGACGGUACCUAAUCAGAAAGCCACGGCUAACUACGUG
rnacentral:rRNA from 1 species